rnacentral:misc_RNA from 1 species
ACUGUGCAGUCAGCUGGCCAUGCCCUGCAUGUCUUUAUCAACGGGCAGCUUGCGGGGUCUGCUUAUGGGACCAGGGAAAAUAAGCGAAUCAAAUAUAGUGUGAAUGUGAACCUUCGUGCCGGAACUAACAAAAUUGCACUGCUAAGUGUGGCUAUGGGACUGCCGAAUGUUGGGGUUCAUUAUGAGUUGUGGAACACUGGAGUUCUAGGUCCUGUGGUGCUACGAGGGCUCGAUGAAGGAAAUCGAGACCUAACCUGGCAGAGAUGGUCAUACCAGGUUGGCCUGAAAGGAGAAGCAAUGAAUCUGAACUCUUUAGAUGGCACUUCGUCUGUCGGAUGGAUGACAUGGCCAUUGACAGUUCAAGAGCAGCAACCAUUGACAUGGUUUAGGGCUUACUUUGAUGCUCCUGCCGGAGAUGAGCCAUUGGCUUUGGAUAUGGGUAGUAUGGGAAAGGGUCAAGUGUGGAUUAAUGGACAAAGCAUUGGAAGAUACUGGACUGCAUAUGCCCCAAAUGGGUAUUGCGGCGGGUGCAAUUACGCUGGAACGUAUCGGCCACCAAAGUGCCAAAGUGGUUGUGGCCAACCAACUCAACGCUGGUACCAUGUACCACAAUCAUGGUUACAGCCAACCAAAAAUCUCCUGGUAGUAUUUGAAGAACUUGGUGGUGACGCAACGAAGAUUUCUCUGGUGAAAAGAUCGGUCUCUGGUGUAUGUGCAGAUGUUUCCGAGGGGCAUCCGAUGAUAAAGAACUGGCACAUUGAUAGCUAUGGUCAGCCAGAGGAGCACCGCCGGCCAAAGGUCCACCUUCGGUGUGCACCAGGGCAGUCUAUUUCGGCUAUCAAAUUCGCAAGCUUCGGCACUCCGUUGGGAACUUGUGGCAAUUUUCAGCAGGGAGCCUGCCACUCACCGGACUCUCACACUAUCCUGGAGAAGAGGUGCAUUGGGCAGCAGGUGUGUGCAGUGACGAUAUCCGCGACCAACUUCGGUGGUGACCCAUGCCCCAACGUGCAGAAGCGAGUGGCCGUCGAAGCCGUUUGCGCCCCGACCAGUCAGCCAAUUUCCUGAGCUUCUCAAUAGCCAAGUGUGAUCCAGUAGUCAGCCCUCAACCAAGUUCAAAUGUACCAUAAAAAAUGGCCCAGAGGGAUAUUACAGCAAAGCUGGUAAAUAUAUAUACACAGGAUAAGCUGCUGAUUGUAGAUCGUAGCUGAUGGUUA